UUAAAAUUGUAGCCCAACAAACCUAAACUACCAAAAAACAAAACAAACCAUUUAAUUUAAUAGUAUGGGCGAUAGAAAUUUGCUAUGAGCAAUAAAAAAGUACCGCAAGGGAAAGAUGAAAUAAAAAUGAAAUAAAUAAUAAAAACAAAGAAAAGAAAAACCUAAACCCUGUACCUUUCGCAUAAUGGUCUAGUAAGUUCAACCUAACAAAAAGAAAUAAAGUUAGCCACCCCCAAACUAGGCCAGCUACUUAAGAGCAGCAUAACCAGAGCUAACCCGUCUCUGUGGCAAAAGAGUGGGGCGACUUUUAAGUAGAGGUAAAAACCCUAACGAGCCUAGUGAUAGCUGGUUGCUUGAGAAAUGAAUAUAAGUUCAGCUUAAAGUAUUUUUAAUAAUUAAAAAUAAAUAUGGCACUUUAAAGUUAAUUAAUAGGGGUACAGCCCUAUUAAUAAAGGAUACAACCUACAUAAUGAAUAAAGAUUAUAUUAACAAAAGAAAUUAACCAUGUAGGCCUAAAAGCAGCCACCAUAAGAAAGCGUCAAAGCUCAACUUACAAUCCUCCCCUUAUUAUACUAAUAAAAAAAAUCUAAAUUCACAAAAACAUAUCAAGCCUAUCUACUAGUAGAUGAGUUUUUACUAGAAUGAAAAACAAGAACAACAUUCUCUACAUGCAAGCGUAAAUCAGAACGAAAAAAAUCACUGAUAAUUAACAAUUUAAAAUACUCAUCAACGAGAAAAACACAUUAAAACAAUUGUUAACCCAACACAGGAGCAUUAAAAAAGAUUUAAAGAUUAAAAAGGAACUCGGCAAUCACAGAGCUCCGCCUGUUUCCCAAAAACAUCGCCUCUUGCCCCCCCAAAUAUAAGAGGUCCCGCCUGCCCAGUGAUUAAUUUUAACGGCCGCGGUAUCAUGACCGUGCAAAGGUAGCGUAAUCACUUGUCUUUUAAAUAAAGACCUGUAUGAAAGGCAAAACGAAAGCUCAACUGUCUCUUUAAUCUAAUCAGU
rnacentral:rRNA from 1 species